GGGGAUGAAAUGGAUUCGACAGACCUACUUUUCCUUUGUAUUGCAGUGGUCUCCAAACCUUAAGGGCUAGACAUUUGUUAAAUGCAAAUUCAAAAAAACAAGAUGUAGUUAAUGACAAAGAUCUAUUUAUUGCCAAAACUGCUUCAAAACAAUUAGCAUUCGCCUAACAAUACUUGGCAGCUAAAGCGAAAAUACUUUUUCCUUGGAGGUAUUAUAGCUUAUUAUAUUCAAGGGGUAGUUGUAUGGAUCUUACUAAAAUACAACGAAAUUUAAGUAAGAACUUAUUUGAAAUUUUUGUUUUCUUUAGUUCAAAAUAAGUAAUAGAUAAAGAAAAAUAAACUGUAGAAGUACUUAGAUUGAAGUUUGUGUGGACCCGGGUUCAACUCCCGGCAUCUCCACCA
rnacentral:tmRNA from 1 species